AUACGUAGGUGGCAAGCGUUGUCCGGAAUUAUUGGGCGUAAAGCGCGCGCAGGUGGUUCCUUAAGUCUGAUGUGAAAGCCCCCGGCUCAACCGGGGAGGGUCAUUGGAAACUGGGGAACUUGAGUGCAGAAGAGGAUAGUGGAAUUCCAAGUGUAGCGGUGAAAUGCGUAGAGAUUUGGAGGAACACCAGUGGCGAAGGCGACUUUCUGGUCGGUAACUGACACUGAGGCGCGAAAGCGUGGGGAGCAAACAGGAUUAGAUACCCUGGUAGUCCACGCCGUAAACGAUGAGUGCUAAGUGUUGGGGGGUUUCCGCCCCUCAGUGCAGCAGCUAACGCAUUAAGCACUCCGCCUGGGGAGUACGGUCGCAAGACUGAAACUCAAAUGAAUUGACGGGG
rnacentral:rRNA from 1 species